CCUACGGGAGGCUGCAGUGGGGAAUAUUGGGCAAUGGGAGAGAGCCUGAACCAGCCAAGUAGCGUGAGGGAUGACGGCCCUAUGGGUUGUAAACUUCUUUUAUAUGGGAAUAAAAUGUUCCACGUGUGGGGGUUUGUGUGUACCAGAUGAAAAAGGAUCGGCUAACUCCGUGCCAGCAGCCGCGGUAAUACGGAGGAUCCGAGCGUUAUCCGGAUUUAUUGGGUUUAAAGGGUGCGUAGGUGGUUUGUUAAGUCAGUGGUUAAAGUUUGCGGCUCAACCCUAACAUUGCAGUUGAAACUGGCAGUCUUGAGUUCAGGAGAGGUGGGCGGAAUGCGUGGUGUAGCGGUGAAAUGCUUAGAUAUCACGCAGAACUCCGAUUGCGAAGGCAGUUCACUGGACUGAAACUGACACUGAGGCUCGAAAGUGUGGGGAUCAAACAGGAUUAGAUACCCGGGUAGUC
rnacentral:rRNA from 1 species